AUGCAGGAUAAAUUAGCUAGGGUAGGAAGGAAUAAACGAAUGCAGCUGUCAGCUGAUAUUUUGUAUAUAUAAUGCGUAAUUAACAUUAAAUCUUCUGUUUAUUGCGAAUACUUCUGCAAACCAUAUGGUUGCCAUAAUUUCGACGGUUUCCGUUGUUACUUUUGAAGAACUGUUGAAAAGCACCGUGUAGGUAUUUCCGGACGAUAUUCGAAACGGCAACACUACCUAUCGAAAAAUGAAGGCAACACUACUCUGGUGGAAGUGGAUUCUUUUGUGCAUUUUCGCCGUGGCACUGGUUCCAAGCCUGAGCAAUGGGCAAUCGGUAUGGGAGUUGUGCAUGGUUUGGUGCUCCCAAAUCAUGUGUGAUGACGGGAAGCCGGCGACCUGCGAACCCCCGUCACCAGACUGUCGGUGCCGUUAAGCGUUGAUGUCAAAGAAAACCCUUAUGGACAACCGUGUCGUAUGAUUGGUCACCUACUCUGCGUAACUGUAUAUAUUUAUAUGCUACGAGCACUGCGUGAUUUCUUUCGGUAUGUCUUAGUGAACCGACGCUUAUUAACGUCGCUCACCUAAUAACGUGUGUCGUACUGUAUUUCGCGACUCGUGUUUGCCGAAACAUUCGUGUUUUCUGUACUUGCUUGGGAAAUUGAUCGACCGCCGUCCGAGGGUAGAAAAAGCCGCAAAACAAAUUAAAUAACCAAUAUCACCAA